rnacentral:rRNA from 1 species
AGAGUUUGAUCCUGGCUCAGAAUCAACGCUGGCGGCGUGCCUCAGACAUGCAAGUCGAACGAUUAAGACUCCCUUCGGGGAGUGUAUAAAGUGGCGCACGGGUGAGUAACACGUGGGUAAUCUACCUCUGGGUGGGGAAUAACCAUCGGAAACGAUGGCUAAUACCGCAUAAUACCGUAAGGUCAAAGCUUUAUGUGCCUGGAGAGGAGCCCGCGGCAGAUUAGGUAGUUGGUAAGGUAAUGGCUUACCAAGCCUGCGAUCUGUAUCCGGCCUGAGAGGGCGGUCGGACACACUGACACUGAAUAACGGGUCAGACUCCUACGGGAGGCAGCAGUCGGGAAUUUUGGGCAAUGGGGGAAACCCUGACCCAGCAACGCCGCGUGAAGGAUGAAGUAUUUCGGUAUGUAAACUUCGAAAGAAUAGGAAGAAUAAAUGACGGUACUAUUUUUAAGCCCCGGCUAACUCCGUGCCAGCAGCCGCGGUAAUAC